rnacentral:rRNA from 1 species
GAGAGUUAAACAGUACGUGAAAUUGUUGAAAGGGAAACGAUUGAAGUCAGUCGUACCGACGAGAAAUCAGCUCUUCGAGUGCGAACUUGUGGGCGUUCGUGAGUCUUUAACGGGCCUCGCUGUUUGCAAUGUUUGUGCUUCUUGGGUGUACUUGCCCGUGUGGUUGGUUAACAUCAAUUUUGGUGGUCAUAAAAUGACUGGAGGAAUGUAGCUUCGAUCUUGUAUUGAAGUGUUAUAGCCUUCGGUAGAUGUGAUGAUCGAGAUUGAGGAUUGCAACGGAUACCCUUCGGGGCUACCUGUCUGGUCUCUGAUCGUUGCUCUGGUGCCGAAAGCUUGCUUACGGUUAUCAAAGUCGAUGGUCAAUAGGUUAGAACGGGUUAAAUUCGUUAAGGAUGUUGACGUAAUGGCUUUAAACGA